rnacentral:rRNA from 1 species
GUGCCAGCAGCCGCGGUAAAACGUAGGAGGCGAACGUUAUCCGGAUUUACUGGGUGUAAAGCGCGUGCAGGCGGACCGAUAAGUGGCUUGUGAAAGCGCCCGGCUCAACCGGGCGAGGACGAGCCAGACUGUGGGUCUGGAGGGAGGUAGAGGCGUAUGGAAUUCCGGGUGUAGUGGUGAAAUGCGUAGAGAUCCGGAGGAACACCAGUGGCGAAGGCGAUACGCUGGGCCUAACCUGACGCUAAGACGCGAAAGCAUGGGGAGCGAACGGGAUUAGAAACCCCUGUAGUCC